CUGCAUUUGUUGGAUGAUAAGGCUACAUGUAUUUCAAUAGUGAUCUCUUAAGCAACAGUGCAUAAAUGAAAAGCUAUUCAGACAACCGCAGGGAUGGAUCCACAGAUGACUGAUAUUUGAUGCCAUCUACUAAUUCCAUCUCAUAUUC